rnacentral:rRNA from 1 species
UACGUAGGGGGCGAGCGUUGUCCGGAAUCAUUGGGCGGAAAGCGCGUGUAGGCGGCCCGGUAAGUCCGCUGUGAAAGUCCAGGGCUCAACCCUGGGAUGCCGGUGGAUACUGUCGGGCUCGAGUCCGGAAGAGGCGAGUGGAAUUCCUGGUGUAGCGGUGAAAUGCGCAGAUAUCAGGAGGAACACCAAUGGCGAAGGCAGCUCGCUGGGACGUGACUGACGCUGAGACGCGAAAGCGUGGGGAGCAAACAGG